CUCUCUCUCCCUCACUCAGUCGUCAUUCUGUUGCCGCGCGGACACGCUCCACUUUGGCUCCCGUGUUAUUUAUCCAGCUAUUUCUGAAGCCGUUGUCACUCUCUCUCUCUCUCUCUCUCUCUCUCUCUCUCUCUCUCUCUCUCUCUCUCUCUCUCUCUCUCUCUCUCUCUCUCUCCAACUCAAAGCGCAGCGCGCGCAUACACUCACUCGAGCAUCCGUUUCUGUUUCCAGCGCGUGGGCUCCAACUGCACACAGCGAGCGGGGAUAAUGACAGAAAGGCACCAAAGAGGAAAGCAGGGUGAGAGAGGGAAUUAAAAAGAGGAGUAAAAAUAAGAAGCAAAGGAGAGAGAGAGAGUCUGCUCUUGCGACAAAGGUGCGAGGACAGUUUGAUUCAGUGGAUUAAACUGGCUCCGGCUCUGCUUCACAAAGUGUCCCACUAAAGGUGAUGACCUCCAUACAUCUCUGAGUGGGAUCCUGACAGGCCCAGGAAAACUGCUUUUGUUGGGACGGCCCCCUUUUCCCAUAAACCACCUUCACAAGCAAGUUUCAGCGUGGCUCAGCUCCCGUCACUGGACUUUAACUUGGGGACCUGAACCUCA